GGAAGCCAUAGAAUUUAUUCGAAUUUGCAGAAGCAUGAGAUAAUGUACCACAAAAGAGUUUGAUUUUACAACAUAAAGUAUGGUAGGAAGUGGUCAAUGUACACAGUGUUGUCAGCAAAAAGGGGAGGCAGGGCAGUUUCACAUUUUUUGAAAGGUGGUGGACGACAACUACACUUGUCCUUAAAGUAAAAUAAAAGCAGGAGAGACCCAGCAGAGACCAACCUGAUUUGCAGUUAGCAUCAGAAUCUAAAUCUAGUAUCACAACUUUAAGAAACUAAAAGAAAACUAUUAGAAAAAUAGAACAUCAAACAAGCAAAAAAAUAUACAAAUGUACAUAAUAAAAAACACACAACUCUUAAUAAUGGCUCCAUGUUCAGUAGAAGAAAAUAUUUACUGGAGAAACCACAGCUAUUCAGGUUUGAUAAUAAACCAACCCUCAUUGGUAUCAUUACCCUUAGUGCUCCUUAAACUCAUUGAAGCUGAAAGGCACAACUUAAGCAGGAAACUUAUCAUCUUAAAUAUAUAUUAUAACUUCUCAAAUGGGAAAAUAAGUCCCAAACUUAAUAGUCUGUCAUCAAGAAACACAAAAUCAUUUGCCUUGUUAAUAAAUUAACAGUCUGAGUGCAUCUUUCCAUCCUGCUUCCUGACCCUGCUGGACACACUAAUAAAUACCCUGAGAAAAUCUUCUCUUUAAGCUUGGCCAAGGUAGAAUGACCCAGGAGGGCUCCAUGGCAACUGUGCCCCGAGACUCCAGGCCCAGCCGGGUCCCGAUGGCGAGAGCGUUGUGGCUCAGUGAAGCACUGGCACAGAAAGGCUGGACUCGAGGAAUCGAGGGGUGAAGAUGGAGUCGGCUGACAUUUUUUGCCUUAAAAAUACAUUAGGAGUCAUAAGCGUGAUGACACAUGGAGUGUAGCUUCUUGCACCACUGGAUCAACAGUAAUCAAUUUCAUGACUCGGAUAAGGUCCCCAGGAGCCUGGCAGAAUGUACAUCUCCCUCUCCCUUCAGAGCCUUACAUAUAAUCUUCUCAUGACGAUGGCAAACAGAUAUAUUUUAAAUUACACGUAACAAUUAUACAUAGUGUAUAUCCAGAUCCGUCUGCAGGCGAACUCUGCAUCAGUUCCACAUAUAAGCCUCACGCCCCCACCACCCUGCAAUUUCCCCGUCCUCGGAACUGUCUCACGAGACCACCAGCGCACAGACACGAACAUGCCUCUCACACACCCCAGAACGCAGCUGUGCUGGAGUUGGGCACAAAGGCCCCUCACUCCCUGUCUUCAUGGUGUGGGUUCUUGGCUGCCAACAGAACUGUCAGCCUUUAUUAAGAAGGAAGGGUCUGUGUAAAAAUGGGAUGUGUGAAUCAGAAGAGGGGCCCUGGCACAGAGCCAGGCAGGCUUGCUUUAGCAUUGAGUCCUGCGUCGCGCAAUGCCCAGGACCUUGCCUGUUAAGUCUGGGUGGGGCCCCUAUGGGGCAUGUCCACGUGCCCCCCACCAGACUCAUUGCCCUGUCUCCAGUCUCCACUGUGGGUUGGGCUGGAGGCCAUGCCACGUGGGACUGCAAACACCAGCCAGUUCACAAUGCCUGCUCCGUGGCAGGGGCACGGCAGGGAGGAGCUGGUAUCAUCAGCGUUUCCACCCAUCUGAACAAAGGUGAGCGGGCCAUGCACCCUUCCAGCUGUGCACAGGGAUGUGCUGAAGGUGCAGGAGGCAGUGCGUCAGGGCCUUGGUGGCUGGGGUAGGUGGAGAAGCCCGCUGCCCCCACCAUCCUGCGGUCACCCCUGGACUCGUAUUGGAUCCUGGCCACUGUGCUAGAGUCAGCACAAGGGACCAGGUGGCUGGCUGCCUGAGAGAGAAAAUAAGUCACAGUGGAAAGAGUUUUUACUGCUGCAAAAACCAAAAGUGGGGGGAGAUCUCAGCAAUUCUGACAACAGUAUACAUUUAGCGACCUUUCUGAGACAGCCUGGGGAAAAUGCAUCUAUCACUGUCCUCUUGAUUUGGAAAAAUAAAUCCGAUGCAUAAAGCCUUGGACAAGGGUGUGUGAGCAGGGAUGAUAAGUAGAGUGGGGGGUGUGUAGAGGCCUGGUCUCCUCCGGACGGUGCCCCUCCCAACUGCAGAGCUGCCCUCCUGUAAGCCGGCUCCCGAGCCAGCUGCCAACAAGGCCCCCACUGCCUCCCUGGAGACCCACUUCAUCCCCCUCUUCAGCAGAGGUCCUGAGGCAGGGGGGUGGAGAUCUGCUGGGUUUGCUGCUUCAUGAAUUUGGGCCUUCGGAGGUCAUGAACACAUGCAGGGCAGUCACAGGGGUUGUGGGAGACAGGAAGGGAUGUUUACCCAUCACAAAUGGGUCUUUCCAAUGUGGGUAUUUGUGGCUGGUGCACAGAUAAAAGUAGACACAAUACUCCUUGGUGGGUGUGCCUCUAGUAAUGUGUAAGUUCUGACUAUGUAGGAAAAUCCUGGCCAGUGGAACUAAGAAUAUUCUUGUUUGGGCAAGGGAACUAAGAGAUGUGAAACUAUCAUUUUUUUUUUGCUUGUGUGUAUUUUUAUUUCAGGGAAAGAAAUGAGGGAUAUGAUAAGAAAAAGUCUAUUAAAAUUGUAAGGCUUACUCCAGACACCAUUGCUUAAAUCACUCCCCUCUCACACAGAGAGAAAACCCCUGGCAAGUGCACAAAAACACUACUCAUAAAAGCACGGUGACCAGUGAACUAUUAUGCAAGGCACCCCCACGUGUCCUUUCCUAACCAGGAAGCCCGUCCUCUAAGGAGGGGGCAUGGGUCCCAUCCCUGCCCAGCCUAGGCGUGCUUCUGUGUCCAGCUUUAAGGCCUCUGCGUGAGGAAGGCCACAGACUCCCAGCUGUCAGCACGCUGUCAUGAUGAGACUUGGAGCAGGGGAGACGCACCUUCUCAAUCUACAAAAUGAGCCAUGGCGCCCAUUAAAAUGUCAAAUGUCAACUCUAAAUAGUCUAUUGGGUGCUGUCUUGCACGGAAAUCUCAGCCAGAAAGAAAAACUAGAGAAAAGAAAAAAAAGAAAAAAGCAAUUCUCUCCCACCACUUCACUUUUCUUGGAGACUGUCUAUCCCUCGAAUUCUCUUUGCCUAUGUAGAAAAUAACGGAAAAAAAAAUCAAGCAAAUAACUACCAGGUCCUAAGACAAGAGACAACCAAAACCCCAACAAAAUAAGUUAGUAUUUAUCAAAAUAUGUUACAACACCAAUCUCCAUAAAUGUCAAUAUCACUCUUUGGAAAUCGGAGCUCUGGGCUCUUAUGAUGCUCCCUCUGGAACAUUCAAAAUGAGAUCAGAAUAAAGCUCCCAGCAAGGUGAGCAGGCCUGAUACGGAGGCUCAGCCCAUGGCCAUCCACCCGCCCUCCACCGCCGUGUUCACAAAUUCUUGCACUUCUCUCCAAGAACCUUCUGGGGGCACAGGGAGGGUACAAGUGCCCUCAAUUUAUCAGGCUUCUUUCUACCAGAUUUGUGUCAAAGGCCAGACUAGGAAGAAAUGGAAAGGAAACUAAGUUUUGAAAGCAGCAUUUCCAUUUCCCCUGGUGUCCAAAAUGCCCACAUCCCUCCUCCUCCCCCAUCAGCAUGGGCCUUCUGUCUCCUGAAGUAGACUCAGUGGAACGCUCCACCCACGUUCAGGUUUCCUCUGGCUCCCAUCUACAAGGAGUGUGUGUGAAAUGGUGCUGGCCGCAGGCCCCGACCCAGGCAAGACGGGGGUGGCGUGCACUGGAGCUAUGGGGGUGGGGAGGAUGCUCGGGUCUCUCCCACUUGCAGAGGCGUGGGGUCCGAAGCAUCCGGAUGACAGAUACACAAAAGGGACAGCAAUAUGCCUAGAAAUCACCUCCCCUGCGACCCACGCAUCUCAGCUAUAGGACAGCCGCAGGGGUGAUGACAUGGCCAUUUCCAAGUUAAUGUUAUGCCCUAACUUAAUCUGGUGGAGUGUCACAAUUUCAUGGACUGUGGAUUGAUUUCAAUUUCAUCAUGUCACAGAGAGGCCAGACAGCUUAUGUCAGGGCCAGAAACGCAUGACCCCGACAUGUCCUGACCCCAGACUGAGCUGCCACCAGCCUUGAGAACCUUACAGGAGCCACCAGACUGGCUCCAAAGCAUGGGAGGGCAAGACUGAGUGAACGGUGGCGACUCACAGGAAACAGACUUCUGACUCGGCCACCAUGGGGCCAGUCCUGCAGAUACUGUCUCAUGUUCCAGUUACUCAGGACACAGCCAGUCGGGGGAGACGGCAGGAGCAGCAAGAACUGGCCCAGGCCUGGAGGCCGUGAGCUGAAGGUCCCUGGUUUACAUGCAUGUGCACACACAUGCAUAAGCAAAGCAGGCCCUAAUGGGAGUGAUCCCUUCUUCCUCAUUUGAGUGGAGCCAGCUGCCCUCAGCCCCGGGCAGCUGUCAUGGUGUCAGAGCAAAGCCCUGAGAAGCCAAGGGGCAGGCAGGGUCCGGCCCUAAUGACCCAUCUGAAUGCAACCGGAGAAGGACAACAGGCCUGAUUUUCCUUUUUAAGUGCACUACUGUCAUUUGGCUCUGGGGUGGGGAGCUGCUGGGGACACACUGUUUUGUGGUACUCAUCUGGCUUGAUUGCUGGGUGUCUGGGGCUGAGCGGGAAGAUGGCUGCGAAAGUUU
rnacentral:lncRNA from 1 species